UACGUAGGGGGCAAGCGUUGUCCGGAUUUACUGGGCGUAAAGGGUGCGUAGGUGGCGCUGUAAGUCAGGUGUGAAAUUUCGGAGCUUAACUCCGAAACUGCAUUUGAUACUGCGGUGCUUGAGGACUGGAGAGGAGACUGGAAUUUACGGUGUAGCAGUGAAAUGCGUAGAGAUCGUAAGGAAGACCAGUGGCGAAGGCGGGUCUCUGGACAGUUCCUGACACUGAGGCACGAAGGCCAGGGGAGCAAACGGG
rnacentral:rRNA from 1 species